rnacentral:rRNA from 1 species
GAGUUUGAUCUUGGCUCAGAUUGAACGCUGGCGGCAUGCCUUACACAUGCAAGUCGAACGGCAGCACGGGAGCUUGCUCCUGGUGGCGAGUGGCGAACGGGUGAGUAAUGCAUCGGAACGUAUCCUGGAGUGGGGGAUAACGUAGCGAAAGUUACGCUAAUACCGCAUAUUCUGUGAGCAGGAAAGCGGGGGACCUUCGGGCCUCGCGCUCUUGGAGCGGCCGAUGUCGGAUUAGCUAGUUGGUGAGGUAAAGGCUCACCAAGGCGACGAUCCGUAGCAGGUCUGAGAGGAUGAUCUGCCACACUGGAACUGAGACACGGUCCAGACUCCUACGGGAGGCAG